CCUUAAAAGGAUCCUGUGUGGUUGUUUUCGGAGCAGGAGGCGUAGGCUCUCAUGCCAUUGAAGCCCUGGCCAGGUCUGGUAUCGGCCAUCUGAUCCUUAUAGACAGCGAUACGGUUUCCCUGACAAAUAUAAACCGCCAAAGCAUUGCUUAUCACAGCACUGUGGGCCAGUAUAAAACCAGAGUAAUGGCAGACCGGAUACGGGAUAUCUGCCCUGAUACAAGGACAGAUACCUUUGAAGAAUUUGUGCUCCCUGAUACAAUGGAGACGCUUUUUUGCCGGAUCAAUGCCCUUUUAGAAGAAGAACAUAUUAAAAAAAGCCAGAUUUCUUCCUCCGGCUCUUCUUCCAUUACCUAUAUUUUAGAUGCCAUUGACACCGUUUCCGCCAAGAUUGCACUUGCUGCUUAUGCAGACGAGCACUCCAUCCCACUGAUCUCAUCCAUGGGGACAGGGAACAAGCUUCACCCCGAACUGUUUCGUAUCUCUGAUUUAAAAGACACUUCGGUCUGCCCCCUGUGCCGUGUGAUGCGCAAGGAGCUGAAGACAAGAGGCAUUCAAAGCCUGAAAGUCUGCUGGUCCCCGGAAAAGCCUCUGACGCCCGCGCCUGCUGAGGAAGAUACAGGCAGCCGCCGCUCCACCCCCGGAAGCAUAUCCUUUGUGCCUCCCGCAGCAGGGGGAGUACGGUCGCAAGAUUAAAACUCAAAGGAAUUGACGGGGACCCGCACAAGCGGUGGAUGAUGUGGAUUAAUUCGAUGCAACGCGAAAAACCUUACCUAGCCUUGACAUGCCAGGAAGGCCUGAGAGAUCAGGCCGUGCCCGCAAGGGAAUCUGGACACAGGUGCUGCAUGGCUGUCGUCAGCUCGUGUCGUGAGAUGUUGGGUUAAGUCCCGCAACGAGCGCAACCCUUGUCAUUAGUUGCUACGAAAGGGCACUCUAAUGAGACUGCCGGUGACAAACCGGAGGAAGGUGGGGAUGACGUCAAGUCCUCAUGGCCCUUAUGGCUAGGGCCUCACACGUCAUACAAUGGUCGGAACAGAGGGAAGCGAAGCCGCGAGGUGAAGCCAAUCCCAGAAAACCGAUCGUAGUCCGGAUUGCAGUCUGCAACUCGACUGCAUGAAGUCGGAAUCGCUAGUAAUCGCGGAUCAGCAUGCCGCGGUGAAUACGUUCCCGGGUCUUGUACACACCGCCCGUCACACCAUGGGAGUGGGGUUCACCAGAAGACGUUUGCCCAACCGAAAGGAAGGCGGCGUCCACGGUGGGCUUCAUGACUGGGGUGAAGUCGUAACAAGGUAGCCGUACCGGAAGGUGCGGCUG
rnacentral:rRNA from 1 species